rnacentral:rRNA from 1 species
GUCUUUACUUUGAAAAAUCAGAGUGUUCAAGCAGGCAGUCGCUCUUGCAUGGAUUAGCAUGGGAUAAUGAAAUAGGACUCUGGUGCUAUUUGUUGGUUUCGAACACCGGGAGUAAUGAUUAACAGGGACAGUCAGGGGCACUCGUAUUCCGCCGAGAGAGGUGAAAUUCUCAGACCAGCGGAAGACGAACCACUGCGAAAGCAUUUGCCAGGGAUGUUUUCACUGAUCAAGAACGAAAGUUAGGGGAUCGAAGACGAUCAGAUACCGUCGUAGUCUUAACCAUAAACCAUGCCGACUAGGGAUUGGAGGAUGUUCCAUUUGUGACUCCUUCAGCACCUUUCGGGAAACUAAAGUCUUUGGGUUCCGGGGGGAGUAUGGUCGCAAGGCUGAAACUUAAAGGAAUUGACGGAAGGGCACCACCAGGAGUGGAGCCUGCGGCUUAAUUUGACUCAACACGGGGAAACUUACCAGGUCCAGACAUUGUGAGGAUUGACAGAUUGAGAGCUCUUUCUUGAUUCGAUGGGUGGUGGUGCAUGGCCGUUCUUAGUUGGUGGAGUGAUUUGUCUGGUUAAUUCCGUUAACGAACGAGACCGCAGCCUGCUAAAUAGCGACGCGAACCCUCCGUUCGCUGGAGCUUCUUAGAGGGACAACUUGUCUUCAACAAGUGGAAGUUCGCGGCAAUAACAGGUCUGUGAUGCCCUUAGAUGUCCUGGGCCGCACGCGCGCUACACUGAUGCACUCAACGAGUCUAUCACCUUGACCGAGAGGUCCGGGUAAUCUUUUGAAAUUGCAUCGUGAUGGGGAUAGAUUAUUGCAACUAUUAAUCUUCAACGAGGAAUUCCUAGUAAGCGUGUGUCAUCAGCGCACGUUGAUUACGUCCCUGCCCUUUGUACACACCGCCCGUCGCUCCUACCGAUUGAAUGAUCCGGUGAGGCCCCCGGACUGCGGCGCCGCAGCUGGUUCUCCAGCCGCGACGCCGCGGGAAGCUGUCCGAACCUAUCAUAGAGA